GGUCCCUUAUGAUGUCAGCACUGGGCUCUGAAAUUCUAUGGUGACUUUGGUGCCUCUGGGGCCUUGACACUCCAGGGACUGAAGGGACC
rnacentral:snoRNA from 1 species